GACGAACGCUGGCGGCGUGCUUAACACAUGCAAGUCGAGCGAUGAAACACCUUCGGGUGCGGAUUAGCGGCGAACGGGCGAGGAACACGUGAGGAAUCUGCCUUCAACUCUGGGAUAACUACGGGAACCCGGGGCUACUACCGGAUACUUUCACCUCGCGGCCUCACCCAUUGUAGACAGUCUUUCGGUGGAAGAUGACCGCGCGGCCUAUCAGCUGGUUGGUGAGGUAAAGGCCCACCAAGGCGACGACGGGUAGCCGGGCUGAGAGGGCGACCGGCCACACUGGGACUGAGACACGGCGCAGACUCCUACGGGAGGCAGCAGUGGGGAAUAUUGGGCAAUGGAGGAAACUCUGACCCAGCGACGCCGCGGGAGGGAUGAAGGCCUUCGGGUGGGAAACCUCUUUCAGCAGGGAAUAAGCGAGAGUGAAGGUACCUGCAGAAGAAGCACCGGCUAACUAUGUGCCAGCAGCCGCAGUAA
rnacentral:rRNA from 1 species